UUAUAGUCCAUCAGGCAUUAGAAGUAAUCUAUAGAUGAUUUAAAGUAUAAAAGAGGGCUAUGAUGUCUCAAAUUUAAUAUAAGAAACUUGUGAGAAUGUUGAUAUCUGCAGGAAGUCCUUGAACUAAUCCCCGGGAUACAGAAGAAUGGCUAAAUCUCAGAUUUAUCAUUAAGAAGAAAUUAUUUAAAACAAACACUUAAGCAAAUCACACAACCAAAGAGGGAGUCCUGUGAUCCACACACAACUUUUGUGUUCCUUACACUGUGAUUCACAAAAUGAGAUACAUUUCCAUAUCGAGCUGCAUCCACUGUGAACUCAUCAGACUCAUAGUCCAGAUCAAAGAGAGAGGAGAAAUGGAGGAGAAAUGAGGUUCAGCAAACUGAACCUCAACUGAGGCCUAACGAUGUCUUCCUCUAGUCAGCCGAGAAUCCAAAAACACAACCCUAUAAUGGAGGGUGGCGCUGAAAAGGAUCAACGUACAUAUAUUCGUAUGAAAACGUCAUAAGGAAGCAUUAUGUGUAGUUACAACGCUCCUCCCCUCGCAACAAAAAUGCUACAUUUUGGGCAUCUCGGAAUAUAAAAACAAAACAAAACAAAACAAAACUGCCUACACUUGGUUUACAAAAAUCCCACAGCCUAUAAUGAGAGGAAAAUGCAUCAUUGUCCAGAUUAUUUUAUAACAUCUCGUUUAUAAAAAAAUCAUUCCACCACCAUCCCCACCACUCUUCAAGGAAGCAAGAGUUAGGGGAAUAAUAAAGUGUCACCACGUGAGUG